UGGGGAAUAUUGCACAAUGGGCGCAAGCCUGAUGCAGCCAUGCCGCGUGUGUGAAGAAGGCCUUCGGGUUGUAAAGCACUUUCAGCGGAGAGGAAGGCGUUAAGGUUAAUAACCUUGGCGAUUGACGUUACCCGCAGAAGAAGCACCGGCUAACUCCGUGCCAGCAGCCGCGGUAAUACGGAGGGUGCAAGCGUUAAUCGGAAUUACUGGGCGUAAAGCGCACGCAGGCGGUUGAUUGAGUCAGAUGUGAAAUCCCCGGGCUUAACCCGGGAAUUGCAUCUGAUACUGGUCAGCUAGAGUCUUGUAGAGGGGGGUAGAAUUCCAUGUGUAGCGGUGAAAUGCGUAGAGAUGUGGAGGAAUACCGGUGGCGAAGGCGGCCCCCUGGACAAAGACUGACGCUCAGGUGCGAAAGCGUGGGGAGCAAACAGG
rnacentral:rRNA from 1 species